UUACGGCCAUAACAGGUUGAGACACCGGUUCCCGUACGAUCAGCAGAGUUAAGUAACCACGAACCUAGUCAGUACCAAGAUGGGUGACCGCUUCGAAAUACCAGGUGGUGUAAG